rnacentral:rRNA from 1 species
GACGAACGCUGGCGGCGUGCUUAACACAUGCAAGUCGAACGAAGUUGCGAACGGGUGAGUAACGCGUAAUUAACCUGCCCUUCAGAGGGGGACAACAGUUGGAAACGACUGCUAAUACCGCAUACUGAAGGAGGGGAUUGCGUCUGAUUAGCUAGUUGGAGGGGUAACGGCCCACCAAGGAGAUGAUCAGUAGCCGGUAUGAGAGGAUGAACUGCAAUAUGGUGACUGAGACACGGCCCAGACUCCUACGGUAGGCAGCAGUGGGGAAUCUUCCGCAAUGGACGAAAGUCUGACGGAGUAACGCCGCGUGAGUGAUGACGGCCUUCGGGUUGUAAAGCUCUGUUAAUCGGGACGCGGUACCGGAAUAGAAAGCCACGGCUAACUACGUGCCAGCAGCCGCGGUAAUAC